rnacentral:rRNA from 1 species
AGAGUUUGAUCAUGGCUCAGAAUCAACGCUGGCGGCGUGCCUAACACAUGCAAGUCGCACGAGAAAGGGGAGCAAUCCCUGAGUAAAGUGGCGCACGGGUGAGUAACACGUGAAUCAUCUACCUCCGAGUGGGGAAUAACCUAGAGAAAUCUGGGCUAAUACCGCAUAACACUUACGAGUCAAAGCAGCAAUGCGCUUGGAGAGGAGUUCGCGGCCGAUUAGCUAGUUGGCGGGGUAAUGGCCCACCAAGGCGAUGAUCGGUAUCCGGCCUGAGAGGGCGCACGGACACACUGGAACUGAAACACGGUCCAGACUCCUACGGGAGGCAGCAGUGGGGAAUUUUGCGCAAUGGGGGAAACCCUGACGCAGCAACGCCGCGUGGAGGAUGAAAUAUCUUGGUAUGUAAACUCCUUUCGAUGGGGAAGAUUAUGACGGUACCCAUAGAAGAAGCCCCGGCUAACUUCGUGCCAGCAGCCGCGGUAAUACGAGGGAGGCAAGCGUUGUUCGGAUUUAUUGGGCGUAAAGGGUGCGUAGGCGGUUUGGCAAGUCUUAUGUGAAAUCUUCGGGCUCAACCCGAAGCCUGCAUAAGAAACUGCCGGGCUUGAGUAUGGGAGAGGUGAGUGGAAUUUCCGGUGUAGCGGUGAAAUGCGUAGAUAUCGGAAGGAACACCUGUGGCGAAAGCGGCUCACUGGACCAUAACUGACGCUGAUGCACGAAAGCUAGGGGAGCAAACAGGAUUAGAUACCCUAGUAGUCC